rnacentral:rRNA from 1 species
CCUACGGGAGGCAGCAGUGAGGAAUAUUGGUCAAUGGCCGCAGGGCUGAACCAGCCAAGUCGCGUGAGGGAUGACGGUCCUAUGGAUUGUAAACCUCUUUUGUCAGGGAGCAAAGGGCGCCACGUGUGGCGCUUUGCGAGUACCUGAAGAAAAAGCAUCGGCUAACUCCGCGCCAGCAGCCGCGGUAAUACGGAGGAUGCGAGCGUUAUUCGGAUUUAUUGGGUUUAAAGGGUGCGCAGGCGGAAUGUCAAGUCAGCGGUAAAAUUUCGGGGCUCAACCCCGUCGUGCCGUUGAAACUGGCGUUCUUGAGUGAGCGAGAAGUAUGCGGAAUGCGUGGUGUAGCGGUGAAAUGCAUAGAUAUCACGCAGAACUCCGAUUGCGAAGGCAGCAUACCGGCGCUCAACUGACGCUCAUGCACGAAAGCGUGGGUAUCGAACAGGAUUAGAUACCCCAGUAGUC